UCGGCCUACGGGAGGCAGCAGUGGGGAAUAUUGCACAAUGGGGGAAACCCUGAUGCAGCGACGCCGCGUGAAGGACGAAGUAUUUCGGUACGUAAACUUCUAUCAGCAGGGAAGAAAAUGACGGUACCUGACCAAGAAGCCCCGGCUAACUACGUGCCAGCAGCCGCGGUAAUACGUAGGGGGCAAGCGUUAUCCGGAUUUACUGGGUGUAAAGGGAGCGUAGACGGCCGUGCAAGUCUGAUGUGAAAACCCGGGGCUCAACCCCGGGACUGCUUUGGAAACUGUGGAGCUAGAGUGCUGGAGAG
rnacentral:rRNA from 1 species